rnacentral:sRNA from 1 species
CUCCUGCUGGACCUUCCUCCGUCUCUCCAUCUCUCCCUCCUUUCCCCGCGUUCUCUUUCCACCUUUCUCUUCUUCCCACCUUAGACCUCCCUUCCUGCCCUCCUUUCCUGCCCACCGCUGCUUCCUGACCCUUCUCCGACCCCGCUCUAGCAGCAGACCUCCUGGGGUCUGUGGGUUGAUCUGUGGCCCCUGUGCCUCAGUGUCCUUUUCGUCUCCCUUCCUCCCGACUCCGCUCCCGGACCAGCGGCCUGAGCCUGGGGAAAGAAAGGAUGGUUCCCGAGGUGAGGGUCCUCUCCUCCUUGCUAGGACUCGCGCUGCUCUGGUUCCCCCUGGACUCCCACGCUCGAGCCCGCCCAGACAUGUUCUGCCUUUUCCAUGGGAAGAGAUACUCCCCCGGCGAGAGCUGGCACCCCUACUUGGAGCCACAAGGCCUGAUGUACUGCCUGCGCUGUACUUGCUCAGAGAGCGCCCAUGUGAGUUGUUACCGCCUCCACUGUCCGCCUGUCCACUGCCCCCAGCCUGUGACGGAGCCACAGCAAUGCUGUCCCAGGUGUGUGGAACCUCACACUCCCUCUGGACUCCGGGCCCCACCAAAGUCCUGCCAGCACAACGGGACCAUGUACCAACACGGAGAGAUCUUCAGUGCCCAUGAACUGUUCCCCUCCCGCCUGCCCAACCAGUGUGUCCUCUGCAGCUGCACCGAGGGCCAGAUCUACUGCGGCCUCACAACCUGCCCCGAACCAGGCUGCCCCGCACCCCUCCCGCUGCCAGACUCCUGCUGCCAAGCCUGCAAAGAUGAGGCAAGUGAGCAAUCGGCUGAAGAGGACAGUGUGCAGUCGCUCCAUGGGGUGAAACAUCCUCAGGAUCCGUGUUCCAGUGAUGCUGGGAGAAAGAGAGGCCCGGGCACCCCAGCCCCCACCGGCCUCAGCGCCCCUCUGAGCUUCAUCCCUCGCCACUUCCGACCCAAGGGAGCAGGCAGCACGACCGUCAAGAUCGUCCUGAAGGAGAAACAUAAGAAAGCCUGUGUGCAUGGCGGGAAGACAUAUUCCCACGGGGAGGUGUGGCACCCGGCCUUUCGUGCCUUCGGCCCCUUGCCCUGCAUCCUAUGCACCUGUGAGGAUGGCCGCCAGGACUGCCAGCGUGUGACCUGUCCCACUGAGUACCCUUGCCGUCACCCCGAGAAAGUGGCUGGGAAGUGCUGCAAGAUUUGCCCAGAGGACAAGGCAGACCCUGGCCACAGUGAGAUCAGUUCUACCAGGUGUCCCAAGGCACCGGGCCGGGUCCUCGUCCACACUUCGGUAUCCCCAAGCCCAGACAACCUGCGUCGGUUUGCCCUGGAACACGAGGCCUCAGACCUGGUGGAGAUCUACCUCUGGAAGCUGGUAAAAGGAGGAAUGGACGAAGAAAGUGGAGCUGUUCAGCCUGGAGAAGAGAAGACUCAGGGGGACAGGACUGCUGGCUUCGUGGUUCUGAAGGGCUGUCCCAGGCAGAGGGAGCAGCUGUGUUCUGAGUGACCGCAAGAGUCAAACAACAAGCAGGGGCUUUGGGUUCGAAUCCCAACUCUGCCAGUUUGAAUCCAGACUCUGCUAUAUCUUAGCUGUGUGGCCUUGGGCAGUCACAUGAUCUCUCUGGGCCUCAGUUUUCUCUUCUGUAAAGUGGGGAAGAGGGUUUUUGGAGGAUUAAAUGACAUGACAUCAGUGCAGCCCCUGACAUACACCAGGCACUAAAAAUGUCAGUCUUCUCAUUCCACCACAUCAGGUUGGUGAGAAAUGCAGAGAGGCAGCUUUCAGCUCCAAGAGAAGAAGAACUUUCUCACACUUAGAGGCUUCUGCCAGUGGAAGGGAGGGAGCAAGCUCCACUUACGAGAAGCGUGCAAGCAGAGGCUGAUGGGGAUUCCGUCUGCAGCUGGGGAGUUAGAUUCAGUAACCCUUAAAAUUUUUUGAGCCUUAAGAUUCCAUCAGUCCCGGCUGGGCCU